rnacentral:rRNA from 1 species
AAAUUGAAGAGUUUGAUCAUGGCUCAGAUUGAACGCUGGCGGCAGGCCUAACACAUGCAAGUCGAGCGGUAGCACAGAGAGCUUGCUCUCGGGUGACGAGCGGCGGACGGGUGAGUAAUGUCUGGGAAACUGCCUGAUGGAGGGGGAUAACUACUGGAAACGGUAGCUAAUACCGCAUAAUGUCGCAAGACCAAAGUGGGGGACCUUCGGGCCUCAUGCCAUCAGAUGUGCCCAGAUGGGAUUAGCUAGUAGGUGGGGUAACGGCUCACCUAGGCGACGAUCCCUAGCUGGUCUGAGAGGAUGACCAGCCACACUGGAACUGAGACACGGUCCAGACUCCUACGGGAGGCAGCAGUGGGGAAUAUUGCACAAUGGGCGCAAGCCUGAUGCAGCCAUGCCGCGUGUGUGAAGAAGGCCUUCGGGUUGUAAAGCACUUUCAGCGGGGAGGAAGGCGAUAAGGUUAAUAACCUUGGCGAUUGACGUUACCCGCAGAAGAAGCACCGGCUAACUCCGUGCCAGCAGCCGCGGUAAUACGGAGGGUGCAAGCGUUAAUCGGAAUUACUGGGCGUAAAGCGCACGCAGGCGGUCUGUCAAGUCGGA